ACGUAGGCAACCUGCCUGCAAGAUCGGGAUAACAUUCGGAAACGAAUGCUAAUACCGGAUACACAAUGUCCUCGCAUGGGGAGAUUGGGAAAGACGGCGCAAGCUGUCACUUGCAGAUGGGCCUGCGGUGCAUUAGCUAGUUGGUGGGGUAACGGCUCACCAAGGCGACGAUGCAUAGCCGACCUGAGAGGGUGAUCGGCCACACUGGGACUGAGACACGGCCCAGACUCCUACGGGAGGCAGCAGUAGGGAAUCUUCCGCAAUGGACGAAAGUCUGACGGAGCAACGCCGCGUGAGUGA
rnacentral:rRNA from 1 species